CCUACGGGAGGCAGCAGUGAGGAAUAUUGGUCAAUGGGCGGGAGCCUGAACCAGCCAAGUCGCGUGAGGGAAGACGGUCCUAUGGAUUGUAAACCUCUUUAGGCGGGGAGCAAUGCCGGGCACGCGUGCCCGGAGGGAGAGUACCCGCAGAAUAAGCAUCGGCUAACUCCGUGCCAGCAGCCGCGGUAAGACGGAGGAUGCGAGCGUUAUCCGGAUUGAUUGGGUUUAAAGGGUGCGUAGGCGGAUUUUUAAGUCAGCGGUAAAAUGUCGGGGCUCAACCCGGGCCGGCCGUUGAUACUGGGGAUCUUGAGUGGGCGAGAGGUAUGCGGAAUGCGUGGUGUAGCGGUGAAAUGCAUAGAUAUCACGAAGAACACCGAUUGCGAAGGCAGCAUACCGGCGCCCGACUGACGCUGAGGCACGAAAGCGUGGGGAUCGAACAGGAUUAGAUACCCUAGUAGUC
rnacentral:rRNA from 1 species